UGGGGAAUAUUGGACAAUGGGGGGAACCCUGAUCCAGCCAUGCCGCGUGUGUGAAGAAGGCCUUAUGGUUGUAAAGCACUUUAAGCGAGGAGGAGGCUCUCUUGGUUAAUACCCAAGAAGAGUGGACGUUACUCGCAGAAUAAGCACCGGCUAACUCUGUGCCAGCAGCCGCGGUAAUACAGAGGGUGCGAGCGUUAAUCGGAUUUACUGGGCGUAAAGCGUGCGUAGGCGGCUUUUUAAGUCGGCUGUGAAAUCCCCGAGCUUAACUUGGGAAUUGCAUUCGAUACUGGGAAGCUAGAGUAUGGGAGAGGAUGGUAGAAUUCCAGGUGUAGCGGUGAAAUGCGUAGAGAUCUGGAGGAAUACCGAUGGCGAAGGCAGCCAUCUGGCCUAAUACUGACGCUGAGGUACGAAAGCAUGGGGAGCAAACAGG
rnacentral:rRNA from 1 species